CCUACGGGUGGCAGCAGUUAAGAAUAUUCCGCAAUGGACGAAAGUCUGACGGAGCGACGCCGCGUGGAUGAAGAAUGCCGAAAGGUUGUAAAAUCCUUUUAAGCCUGAGGAAUAAGCAGAGGAGGGAAUGCCUUUGCGGUGACUGUAGGGCUUGAAUAAGCAACGGCUAAUUACGUGCCAGCAGCCGCGGUAACACGUAAGUUGCGAGCGUUGUUCGGAAUUAUUGGGCGUAAAGGGCAUGUAGGCGGAAAUGCAAGCUUGAUGUGAAAUACUGCAGCUUAACUGCGGAACUGCAUUGAGAACUGCGUAUCUUGAAUUACUGAAGGGUAACCGGAAUUCCACGUGUAGGGGUGAAAUCUGUAGAUAUGUGGAAGAACACCAAUGGCGAAGGCAGGUUACCGGCAGAUAAUUGACGCUGAGGUGCGAAAGUGCGGGGAGCGAACAGGAUUAGAUACCCUAGUAGUC
rnacentral:rRNA from 1 species